CAUCACUACGCUAGAUGCAUAUCAAUAAGCGGAGGAAAAGAAACUAACAAGGAUUCCCCUAGUAACGGCGAGUGAAGCGGGAAGAGCUCAAAUUUGAAAUCUUAAAGGGUUUUCCUUUACGAAUUGUAGUUCAAAGAAGUGUUUUCUGUUGGAGUUUCGGUAAAAGUUCUUUGGAAUAGGACAUCAUAGAGGGUGAGAAUCCCGUAUUUGACCGUUACUUUCCAGCUGUGUGAUACGCUUUCAAAGAGUCGGAUUGUUUGGGAAUGCAGUCCAAAAUGGGUGGUAAAUUUCAUCUAAAGCUAAAUAUUGGCGAGAGACCGAUAGCGAACAAGUACCGUGAGGGAAAGAUGAAAAGAACUUUGAAAAGAGAGUUAAACAGUACGUGAAAUUGUCAAAAGGGAAGCGUUUGACACCAGUGUUGUUUAGUUGAAAAUCAAUUCAAUAAUUUUUGAUUUUGAGUAGUAUUGACUUCAUCAGCUUGCUGCUUUCUUUUCGGAAAUUAUUGAAUGCACUUUUCAGUUAACAAGUCAACAUCAAUUUCUUUUGUUGUAAAAGGGUCAUUGGAGGGUGGCUUUCACUUCGGUGAAAGUGUUUAUAGCCUUUGGCUUCUACAAUCGGAGAGAUUGAGGUCUGCAGCGUAGAUCCUUCGGGGUUAGAUACGUAGAUGCUAAGUUAUAGUUUUUUAUAGACAACUUGUUGACUAUGAUUAAUCAUGUAGCUUACUCGUUUGCGCUAUUUUACCUACGCUUAGGAUGUUGACACACGCGCGUGCUCG
rnacentral:rRNA from 1 species